UUAAUUAAAAUACUAAUGAUUCCCACAACAUUUGAAGUGAUUUCAUUGGAAAGCAACAUAGUCUCAAGGAUCAAUCAUGUAGGAUAAAGAAAUCCCAAUAAAAAUCACCUUAUUUAAGUUGGAGAAAUUUUGCUCGUUCCCUAGCAUAUUAUUAUUAAUUAAAGCCAUAACCUACGUCCAAGACCCCGUCAAUUAGUAGCACGCACACAAGAUGAUAACAUUCGAGUACUAGUCAAGGCCGCGCACCUCCAAACCCACCACCGUAUCCACCACCGUAACCACCACCUUUCCCCACCACCUUGAGAAUCACUGCCCCCACCACCACCUCCGCCCCCACCACCACCUCCACCUCCACUUCCAGACCCAAAUCCACUUCCAAAGCCAAAGCCAAACCCUCCACCUUUUUUACCACCUCCACCACCUCCCCCCUCCCCCUCCCCCACCCCCUCCUCCACCACCACCAAGACUUCCCUUUCCAGCUCCACCGCCAAAGCCAGCACCAAAACCAGAUCCAGAUCCAAAGUCAUAACCAGGGACAUAAUUAGAGUUGGAUGUCUCUUCCCCAUGAAGUGCACCCUCCUUGCUCAUUGCUAGCUUCCUAGCAUCUGUGACAAGAACAAGUGCAAAAAGCAAAGACAAAAUAAGCCUUGCAGCCAUCAUUAGGAGAAAGAAACACCUUAACUAGCUUGAGAUGAUGUUUUCUUAUGCAAUGACCAAACCAGUAGAGAAUUUAUAUAUAUAGCCGUAGAACUUCGAGAUGAUUAGUUGAUGAAAUUAAGGGUGCAGUUGAGAAUUAAUGUUGCAAAUUCUACACAUCCAAUCAUCUAUACGCCGUGCUUAUAUAGUUAAUAGAGCCAUCUGCCUUCAGUGAAAAACUGCCC
rnacentral:lncRNA from 1 species